ACGGGUGAGUAACGCGUGGGAAUCUACCGUGCCCUGCGGAAUAGCUCCGGGAAACUGGAAUUAAUACCGCAUACGCCCUACGGGGGAAAGAUUUAUCGGGGUAUGAUGAGCCCGCGUUGGAUUAGCUAGUUGGCGGGGUAAAGGCCUACCAAGGCGACGAUCCAUAGCUGGUCUGAGAGGAUGAUCAGCCACAUUGGGACUGAGACACGGCCCAAACUCCUACGGGAGGCAGCAGUGGGGAAUAUUGGACAAUGGGCGCAAGCCUGAUCCAGCCAUGCCGCGUGAGUGAUGAAGGCCUUAGGGUUGUAAAGCUCUUUCACCGGAGAAGAUAAUGACGGUAUCCGGAGAAGAAGCCCCGGCUAACUUCGUGCCAGCAGCCGCGGUAAUACGAAGGGGGCUAGCGUUGUUCGGAAUUACUGGGCGUAAAGCGCACGUAGGCGGAUAUUUAAGUCAGGGGUGAAAUCCCAGAGCUCAACUCUGGAACUGCCUUUGAUACUGGGUAUCUUGAGUAUGGAAGAGGUAAGUGGAAUUCCGAGUGUAGAGGUGAAAUUCGUAGA
rnacentral:rRNA from 1 species